CGGAGUGUGGCGCAGCUGGAAGCGCACUCGCAUGGGGUGCGAGAGGCCGUGGGUUCGAGUCCCACCACUCCGACCA
rnacentral:tRNA from 1 species